AAAUUGUAUUUUCCUUUAUUAAAAAAGCAAAUAAAACAUUUAUUCAGGAUAUUGGUUAAAAUUUAAUUAAGAAGGUAAUAUAAAGCGAAGCUUCUUGGUGUGAUAUAUCAUAUAUCAAUUUAAUUGAGUGAUAUAUAUCACUCAUACUCAUGCAUCUCCUACUCUCUUCAACGCAGAACACUAAGGCAUUGAAAUUUAUGUAUAGAAAUAUAGAAUAUACGGAGCCUGCUACGACGUCCAAACACUAUGUUCCAAUGCUGGAGGAACUUAGGGCUAGAGACUUGUCUUAUGCAGUUAUGCUCUCUAGGUUCCACAUCUUUUCAUGGAGAGAGUCUGGAGUAAAGGGCAUUGGUUACUGUUUUUUUCCUAAUGAAGCCCCAGCUUACCAGAACUCAAGAUUGAUUUUGAGAGAUUGUACAUGAAGGAGAGGGGAAAGCUAAGAAUUAAGGUUCUUGAGGCGCAGCGACAUUGGUAUAUAAUCUUGACAUUCCAGUUUGAAACAGGAACGCCAUACAUGCUUUUCAAGAUGCAUUUGUCUAUUUGAAUCUCCAGAGGGCCAACAACUGAAUUAGGAUAUAUUUGAAACUAUAUAUAAUUUUGUACUACCAUGCACUCAAAGCAUCUUCAGAGCUUGCUGCAAGUGAUGGUGCCUAUGAGACAUACAAAAUUACAAAGGAAGCUAGUCCUGUGAGCAAGUUACAAGGCUACAAAAGAUGAUAUUACUGUCUACGGGGCUCUUCUAAAUCGUCCAACUUCACAGUAUGUGAAUGCAUCUCGUUGGUACAACCACAUGGAGAUCCUCUUGAGAAGAGGUAUCACAUGUAUCUCUUCUGAAGAGAGUGGUGUCACUAUUGAUGGAUCUUCUGCUAUUGAUUCUAAGGAUGGUUGGGAAGUUGUUGAUGAUGAUGAUCAAGAUAUUGAAAUUAUUAAGGAGGAAACCGAAGAGAAAAAGAAAGCUACUUUGGAGGCAUCCACAAGGAAGGAAACUUGGCAGUCAGGGCUAAUGGUUAUCACACCGCGUGAUGAUGAGAUGGACAUGGAGAAGCUAAAGGAUGAUAUAAGAUCUAUUCAGAUGGAAGGAUUGAUUUGGUGACCAUGUAAGUUUGUUUCAUCUCUAGCACCCUCAAAAUGUUUCUAAAUUUCGGGAAGGUAGUAUACAAAUAGUAAAACUCUGAAAUCUCUCAGCGAAACUUUUCUCCGUUGGUUAUGGAGUCAAGUUGUUGCGUAUCAUAUUCAUCAUGUAUGAUGAUGACCUUUUCUGUUUCGACACCCUUGUCGAGACGCAUAUAUAUAACUGUGGGCGUGUCAGGAGCGUUGAAUGUUCCAACUUCGAGCGUUGUCCGGCUAAUGAUGAUGGUGACCUACUAGACGAGGAGACCGAGGAGGAAAUGAAAGCCGCCGGGAUAUCAGGGCUAGUUCUUCCCCGGUAUCGAGAUUAUAAGAACACCGACAUUAAGAAGGAAGAAGAACGUAUAAGAUCCAUCCAGAAGGAAGGAGUGUCUUGGGGAGCAACAAAGCUUUUCAACCUUGGCUAUGGAUUUGUAUAUUUGCGGACCAUGUUCACCAUUAUUGACGACCGUGUGUCUCUUGACACCAUUCGCCGAAAAGGGUUGGGUGUUAUUCCCUUGAACAGAAUAUGUAAGUGUUUAAAAUAAUUUUUCAACUCCU